rnacentral:rRNA from 1 species
GACGAACGCUGGCGGCGUGCUUAACACAUGCAAGUCGAACGGUGACCCAUCUUCGGAUGGUGAUCAGUGGCGAACGGGUGAGUAACACGUGGGCAACCUGCCCCUAGCUCUGGGAUAACUCCUCGAAAGAGGUGCUAAUACCGGAUAUCACCUCCCUGGACAUCCAGGGUGGUUGAAAGUUUUUCGGCUAGGGAUGGGCCCGCGGCCUAUCAGCUUGUUGGUGGGGUAAUGGCCUACCAAGGCGACGACGGGUAGCCGGCCUGAGAGGGCGACCGGCCACACUGGGACUGAGACACGGCCCAGACUCCUACGGGAGGCAGCAGUGGGGAAUAUUGCGCAAUGGGCGAAAGCCUGACGCAGCAACGCCGCGUGAGGGAUGACGGCCUUCGGGUUGUAAACCUCUUUCAGCAGGGACGAAGCGAAAGUGACUGUACCUGCAGAAGAAGCGCCGGCUAACUACGUGCCAGCCGCCGCCGUAACAC